rnacentral:rRNA from 1 species
AUAUGCCUUUUGGUGGGGGACAACAGUUGGAAACGACUGCUAAUACCGCAUGAUGUUUACGGACCAAAGUGGGGGACCUUCGGGCCUCACGCCAAAAGAUUAGCCCAAGUGGGAUUAGCUAGUUGGUAAGGUAAUGGCUUACCAAGGCAACGAUCCCUAGCUGGUUUGAGAGGAUGAUCAGCCACACUGGGACUGAGACACGGCCCAGACUCCUACGGGAGGCAGCAGUGGGGAAUAUUGCACAAUGGGCGCAAGCCUGAUGCAGCCAUGCCGCGUGUGUGAAGAAGGCCUUCGGGUUGUAAAGCACUUUCAGUAAGGAGGAAAGGUUAAGUUUUAAUAGAGCUUAGCUGUGACGUUACUUACAGAAGAAGCACCGGCUAACUCCGUGCCAGCAGCCGCGGUAAUACGGAGGGUGCGAGCGUUAAUCGGAAUUACUGGGCGUAAAGCGUACGCAGGCGGUUUGUUAAGCGAGAUGUGAAAGCCCCGGGCUCAACCUGGGAACUGCAUUUCGAACUGGCAAACUAGAGUGUGAUAGAGGGUGGUAGAAUUUCAGGUGUAGCGGUGAAAUGCGUAGAGAUCUGAAGGAAUACCGAUGGCGAAGGCAGCCACCUGGGUCAACACUGACGCUCAUGUACGAAAGCGUGGGGAGCAAACAG